rnacentral:SRP_RNA from 16 species
GACUCGCUCAAUAAAACGGUAAAAAGGUGCGACGUGUUGGGAAGUCGGGAGGGGAAGGGGGUCGCAGGUGUGGGGCAGGGCCUCCUCCUGCAACAAUAAAGCAUUCUGGCCCAGGCCACACACCCAGGCAACAGAGCAGAGGCAGAUGACUGCUCAGUGCUGUGGAGGAUGCUCACA